UUGACUGUGCAAAGGUAGCAUAAUCAUUAGUUUUUUAAUUAAAAGCUUGUAUGAAGGGUUGGACGAGAUAAAUUCUGUCUCUAUUUAAUUAAAUUUAGAAUUUAAUUUUUAAGUUAAAAAGCUUAAAUUUUUUUAAAAGACGAGAAGACCCUAUAGAUCUUUAUAUUAGAAAUAUUAAUUUUAAUUAGGAAUAUUUUAUAUUUUAUUAUUAAUAAUAUUUUAUUGGGGUAAUAAAAAGAUUUAAUUAAUUCUUUUUUUAUUUAAACAUUAAUAAAUGAUUAUAUGAUCCAUUUUUAUUGAUUAAAAGAUUAAGUUACCUUAGGGAUAACAGCGUAAUUUUUUUAGAGAGUUCAUAUCGAUAAAAAAGUUUGCGACCUCGAUGUUGGAUUAAAAAUUAUCUUAGGUGUAGAAUUUUAAGAUUUUGGUCUGUUCGACCAUUAAAUUUUU
rnacentral:rRNA from 1 species